CGGCCGGAACGGCGUUGAGUAACACGUGGGUAACCUGCCCAUAAGACUGGGAUAACUCCGGGAAACCGGGGCUAAUACCGGAUAACAUUUUGAACCGCAUGGUUCGAAAUUGAAAGGCGGCUUCGGCUGUCACUUAUGGAUGGACCCGCGUCGCAUUAGCUAGUUGGUGAGGUAACGGCUCACCAAGGCAACGAUGCGUAGCCGACCUGAGAGGGUGAUCGGCCACACUGGGACUGAGACACGGCCCAGACUCCUACGGGAGGCAGCAGUAGGGAAUCUUCCGCAAUGGACGAAAGUCUGACGGAGCAACGCCGCGUGAGUGAUGAAGGCUUUCGGGUCGUAAAACUCUGUUGUUAGGGAAGAACAAGUGCUAGUUGAAUAAGCUGGCACCUUGACGGUACCUAACCAGAAAGCCACGGCUAACUACGUGCCAGCAGCCGCGGUAAUACGUAGGUGGCAAGCGUUAUCCGGAAUUAUUGGGCGUAAAGCGCGCGCAGGUGGUUUCUUAAGUCUGAUGUGAAAGCCCACGACUCAACCGUGGAGGGUCAUUGGAACUGGGGAGACUUGAGUGCAGAAAAGGAAAGUGGAAUUCCCUGUGUAGCGGAGAAAAUGCGUAAAAGAUAUGGAGGAA
rnacentral:rRNA from 1 species